rnacentral:sRNA from 1 species
CACUCUCCACUUCGGGCAACGGCCGCUAC